UACAGAGGUGGCAAGCGUUGUUCGGAAUUAUUGGGCGUAAAGGGCGCGUAGGCGGCCUUCUCAGUCAGACGUGAAAUCCCCGGGCUUAACUCGGGAACUGCGUCUGAUACUGGAAGGCUGGAGUUCGGGAGAGGGAUGUGGAAUUCCAGGUGUAGCGGUGAAAUGCGUAGAUAUCUGGAGGAACACCGGUGGCGAAGGCGGCAUCCUGGACCGAAACUGACGCUGAGGCGCGAAAGCCAGGGGAGCAAACGGG
rnacentral:rRNA from 1 species